GGGGGGAGAGAAAGAAAGAAAAGGAUUGGACAUUGAACAGAGAAACAAUGGACGGAUUAAUCUGCAGGUUGAUUUAUGUGUUGUGCUCCGUACUGUCAGUGCCAUUACGACGACGACUCCGUCAAACGCAGCACACUGUGACUGACAGUGAUGGUUAGAUUUAUUUAUCACUUUCAGCAGUUGCUCCCUCGUAGAAAUGAAAGUAUUCUAUGCAAACCUUCCUCUUCCUCGUCUUCUGUUUUCUUCAUCCUCCUCCUCUCCUCUUUAUGCUAAUGCGUCUGCAGGGCAGCUCGUAGCUCUGCGGGAGGUUGCUGAGCCCUUUUGAUUUCGAGGGUGACUCAGCCUCUAAUUUAUCUUUGCGACUGUGUACUUGCGAAACACUUGCAGUAAGCAAGAAAAAAAAGCCCAGUGAAAUUUCUGGCAGAAAUUGAAAGACACAUUUUAGAAAACUUAGAGAGGUGGAGACCAAGUUAAGCGUUGGAUAAAAUGAUGGAUGGGUGAAGUGACCAGGGUGUUAGACCUCCAUCACCCAUUGACUGCUGAGAUUGGCUCCAGCUCCCACAUGAACGUGAAAAGGAACAUAUUUUGAUGAAUGAUUACAUUGUUGCCAUCCUUUGCCAUACCAGUGGCCAUGUAAGUGGCCUGCUUGUCUUGCAUAUGACAUGGUUGCUUGUUGAAGCUCUUGGUAAAUGCUGACUUUGCUUCUCUACUUUCUCCAGGAAAGCAUUUAAGUUUCCUGACUCCAAAGUCAGACUGGAGGACCUUUUGGCUGAGAUGAUGGAUGAUGGAGUCAGUGUCAGGUUGUCAAAACAUAACUGGUAGCAGACAGCAGAAAGUGAGUCCCAUACUUCCUGAUCAGGUUGUCAGUGAUCAUCUGGGUGGUGGGUCUGCGGCCCAGAAGUCGAAUAUUCCGGAUGAACUCAGAGGUCAAAGGAAUCCAUGGAGCAUGUCCACACAGCCUGACCUGAUGUGGAAGUGAGCCGUAGUGAGGAAAGGAGGAAAUAAGAAAAAGGAAGAAAGCUGGUGUGAGAGAGUGAAAAAAAAAAGAAAAUCAUUUGAAACAAAGAUUGUCACCUGGGAGCAGAAUGAGCAGCUUCUUCACAGCUGACAGAUGUUUCUCUUUAACAGCCCCAUCACGACUGAGACAUAUGUCCAAAUGAAUAAAAUACAAGGUGUUACACAGGAAAAUAACCCCAAUGUGCAAAUAGGUUGAGAAUGUGCUGCUGACUGACAAAAACCUGAGAUUACAAACAAAUGUCAAGGAGGUGUCGUGGAGACACAGCCGACGAUGGCUCUCCAUGUUCUCCUCCUGACCUCUAACAACUAACUCCUGACCUCAGCUGUGAGUGCAGACUGUAGGCUGCAUUUAUAUGACUCCCUGGCGCUUCAUUGAUUAUAAUGUCUGGCAUAGCCAGACCUUCACAACGCUGUGUCAGCACUGGUGAAUGUUCUGUCCAUUCCCAUUAUCAU